GUCUAUGGUGAUACCACCCUGAACACACCCGAGCUUGUCUGAUCUUGGAAGCUAAGCAGGGUUGGGCCUGGUUAGUACUUGGAGGAGAUAGAUAUUGUCUUCA
rfam:Heterocephalus glaber contig226337, whole genome shotgun sequence.